AAGAAAACAGGGAAGGGGCCUUUAUGACUAUCAAAGUGGACCUCUCCUCUGAACGAAUGCUUGGUGACCAAGAAAGGGCAGCGAAUAGGGGAUUUAUUUUGACUCUUGAGAGAGAUGCAAGCAAGUCCAGUGUUAGCAUCCGCUGUGGUAAUAACCGCUGCAAAAAGAUCUUCUUUGACUAAUUUUGAAAUCAUCUGCUGUUGGCAUAUCAUCUCUUG
rnacentral:misc_RNA from 1 species